UUUUGAAUUAGUCUACUGCUGGAGCCAAUUUUCUCGAUUGAAACAUUCCCCAAAGUCUUUUCAUCAUAAUUACUCUGCACCUUCACAUAUCCCCACCAUUGCUUUGCUGAGCUUUUUUGUCACUUGCAGAGAGAGAGAGAGAUAGAGGAUAAGGAGAAAAGAGAGAGCUCAACCCUAAUUCCUUUUGUCGCCACUUCUCCACUGAUGACACCACCGGUGCCGUCGAAACCAUCUCCUCCUCUGAUAGAGCUUAUGAUCUUGGAUUUGUUAUUUAGUUCUGGCUGGAAUCCGAGUCGAUCAUUCACAACUACUAUGGCGUCUUCUAGGGUUUCAUCAAAAGUCCAAAUCUAGCAAAUCCGUUGGGUCCAUCACUAAAGCACUUCGGUCAGAUCUGCUACAAUGAGCUUUUCUCCGUCUCUAAUUUCUCAACAAACGACGAUGUAGCGAAGUUUCUUCAGAGAUGAGAUGAUUCUGGCUGGAAGUCGAGUCGAUCAGAGACAAUGGAUGCUCUCGGGUUUCUGAAGGUUUUAUGAUCUCUGUUGUGUAUGCUGCUGCCUAUGGUGGCAACUGUAUUUCGUGAAGAAAUUGUUACUGAAAGAUUGGCAUGAAUUAGGAGAGGAAAUGGUGCUUUCCUUAACGGAAAUCCUAUCAAAGUAUCUUCACUCUGAACUGGUGAAGUGUCUCGUUACCAUAGAGGCUGGAACAAAGCGUGAUAAGGCCACUCUGGAUGCCACUACAAAUAGAAUCAAUAGCCGACUUCACAAGGUAAGAUCAAUCAGGAUGGGUGGCUCCUAUGCAUUGGGUCUCUGUGGGGUUGCAUGUGGAAGGAAUGAUCUAUUUAUGAGAUCGGCAUUGGUGGUCUUUGGGAUGUUGCGGCGGCGGUUGUGAUUGUUAAAGAAGCCGGUGGAGUCAUCUUUGAUCCUGAGGAUGCUGAAAGGCUUCGGUUGCAUACAGUUGCAGAAGCCGGUGAUAUGGAUUCCCUAGAAAAGAUGGUCGCGGGGAUGUGGAUUCACUAGAAAAGAUGGUCGGCGGUGAUAUGGAUUCACUAGAAAAGAUGGUCGUUGGUGUAGAUUUAGAUCCAGAUCGAGAUUCAGAUUCAGAGAUGUUUGAGUUGAGAUGCAGUCAGCAUGUUCUUCUUGUACCAAGCACGAAUUCUCGAAGCACGCAUUAUAUAGUGUUCUACAAGACUACAACUAUUACGUCAAGACAUAUGCUUAUGAGUCGUUCAACAAGCUGCAAUUGAACCACCUAGCAAGUUUCAAAUGAGAUGUUUGAGUUGAUCAUGGUGGUUGUUCUUUGAGUUCUGGCGUUGUUGGUUAAGAACUGGUAUGUGUUUGAUUGGCAUUGAGUAUAAUCGUUGUGGAGAUCGGCUGGUGUCGGGUUCUAAUGAAUGGCAAGUUGUGUUAUCGAAUGUGGCAAAUAAAUGUUUGGUCCUUUUUGUGAUUCGGGUCAAAGACACGUCAUCAAACAACAGCAACACUCUAUUCACAUUCGCUGACCUAAGGCUUUCAGAUUGGGAACUCCGAACCUUCAAAGAUCUAGGCAUGAAUACACAAACUCAUACCUUCAACCACAAUAUAUUCCCCGCAUCCUUGUCGGUGAAGACAUGUUAGGGUUAGCUCGAACUGGUAGUGCAAAAACGGUUGUGUUUGUGUUGCCUGUUCCUCACCAUGUCGCUUUAGGUCCCUACGGUGUGUUUUAUCCGGUGGUUACUCCCACACGUAAGUUUGCGUACAAACGUGUCGAUGCUCUUUAAUUUAAACUGACAUUUAUUUAUUAAUGUUUUUAAACAUCUUUUUAUAUCUUUGCGCCUACAAUAGCAACCUGGACAAGAAGUUACAAGAGCAUGAAGGCAUGAGUUUGUGUUUUUCUCUAACAGAUUUCAGAAUUAGGUUAAGUUAACUUGUGCAUCUAUCUACAUUGCAGAAACUGAACUUGGUCAAUGUAGUGCUUUUUACACCUGGAUGGUCUAAGAGGGGUCUCUACUUUGAUAUCAUUGAGGGUAUUUUUCCAGGUUUGGUUGUGAUUACCCAAAGCUAUACUACAGCAUCUUAAGAGUUUCCUGAAGUUGUUUAUAGGUGUUUUAGGUUGGGUAGUAGCUAUUAUGUAACUUAUGUUUUUGGGUGUAUACUUAAGUUGUUUGGUUGUUAAAAAAAAUGUAGUGUAUUUAUAUUUAUUAACCAAAAUGACUUGACAUUUUGUAAUAUGCAAGUUGCAAGACAAGGAUCGAUCUAAUGCUUAUGACGUUUAUCCAUUGACGCUA